rnacentral:rRNA from 1 species
GAUCAACGCUGGCGGCGUGCGUGAGACAUGCAAGUCGAACGAAGGAUCGGGCUUGCUCGAUCCUUAGUGGCGGACGGCUGAGUAACGCGUAGGUGACCUACCCCGAAGUGGGGAAUAACUGCCCGAAAGGGUGGCUAAUACCGCAUGUGGUCGCACGUUCAUUCGUGCGAGUAAAGCCGCAAGGCGCUUCGGGAGGGGCCUGCGUCCGAUUAGCUCGUUGGUGGGGUAAUGGCUUACCAAGGCGACGAUCGGUAGGUGGUCUGAGAGGACGAUCACCCAGACUGGGACUGAGACACGGCCCAGACUCCUACGGGAGGCAGCAGUCGGGAAUUUUGCUCAAUGGGGGAAACCCUGAAGCAGCAACGCCGCGUGAGGGAUGAAGGCCUUCGGGUUGUAAACCUCUUUUGUCAGGGACGAUGAUGACGGUACCUGGCGAAUAAGCCACGGCUAACUACGUG